UUCAUCGAGAAUUACCUAACAUCUAAAUAUAAAGGAACUUAUUACAUGUUCCCGAGAACACAAAAACAAUAAAGCGGAUUAAAAGAAUCAUCAGGACAUAUUCUGGGUGAACCACUCGACAAGUCCAUCAUCUUCCAACGUAUCCCAAAAAUCAUCAUCAUUUUGCAUACUACUAGUUUGAUAUAUGUAUUUUUCAUGAUAUUUUCAAUAUAUCAUAUUAUCGAAAGAGGUAAGAUUUUGUUUAGCGGGGUUAAUAGAAAGAGGUAAGAUUUUCUUCCCCUUUUACAUUACUCAAUUUGUCAUAUUUAUAUUUCAUUUCUACUUUUUCUUCUGGAAUUUCAAAAUUUACUAAUUUAGCAGUUCUCUUUGUUUUUGUGUGUCGCGAUGGUGUUGUUUUGCUUUUUUUUUUUCCCCUUUUUUGGCUCCUUUUUGCCACUUUUGUUUUGAAUCUGGUAUAUUGACUACAAAUGCGAAGGUAUUCCUAACGUGUAAAGGUUGUUGGAAUAAAAGUAGUAGUUUUAAGUUCUCUCUAAUAAUAGGAAAGGUUUCUAUUAUGCUUAGUGUAAAGUAAGCAAAGUAAGCGAAUCAACAGGAGGAAAGAUCACAUUUGGUCUAGGAGCCGAAAGAGCUCAACUGACUUAGUUGUAGAGGGUGACUGAAAAGGAGGCUAGACACAGGGAGAACGGUGGGCUGAGAGAGAUUGUGAAAGAGUAAAGGAAAAGUCAUCUCAUGACCGAAACUAAAACCAGUCAACUUGCCAAUCAACUGACCUGCUUUUCUACCCUUUCAAUUUCACUGUUUGGGAGUAGAAGAUCAGGAGAUUCAAGAGAAUGGUUUGAAAGCCUCACUUUGUGGAGAGGACUGGGUACAAUGGACAUAAUUUAGUGUCGCGAUAUAAGUGCUAGAACAUUUGAGACAAGUUCUUAAAUUUGUUUACAGUGCAUUCUUUUAAUUCCAUUUGAGUCUAAAUUUUACAAGUAUCUACGAAAAAAGAAUAUUCAUCGGUAGGUUUGAAGUUCACCUAUUGCAAGCUAAUAUGCUUAAGUUUUUGGUAGCUGGAUGAAAAUGAUGCGAUAUGCGUUAAAGCUUUUUUUAGUUGAAUUACUUCUUUAGCAAAGUAUACUUAUUUUGUUCUUUGCUAUUGCCCAUCUUUUCCUUUUUUGUUCGUUGGUCGAGGAAAUUGUUGGCUUAACUGUUCAUCUUUUUGUAAAAAGGAAAGGUAUAUGGUAGAAUCUCUUUGUAUAAAUAUUGUACAAGCACUAAUGUCUGCUCUUUCAGUUUUCGUCCCAAUAUUGGCAUGGGGUCACUUGGCAGUAAUCUCAGCUUCGAGUGAAGCUCUUCCCACUCUUAUGGCAUGUGUUCUUCUUAGCAGCGUUAGAGCAUCCAUUACAGAAAAUAUGACAUUUACUAAUUUGACUAAUGCGGGUGUGACACAAGAAGUUUGUUCCUACAAAUACAAUUGGUGUACUGAUUCUAUGCUCUAAUAUUUUCUCCUAAUAGGUUGCAUCAUUGUUUUCCCUUCUUGCGCAGGGGUAUUGCUUCAAUUAUUUUCCCUUCUUGCGCAGGGGUAUUGCUUCAAUUAUCUUGCAGAGUUUGUCGCCAAAACAUGGGACCUGUUUCCACUCAAACUAAGCUCUAUAGGAGAUAAUGAUGACCAACAAUUUUGAAGGAAGUUGGCCUGGAUAGCUCUUCAAUAUGUCCUUACGAUUCUGUAGUUUCAGAUUGGCUGAGGAAGCAUCCUGUAGGAGGUAUUCCCUUCCAAAUUCAUACAAAAAUUCCCUCUUCCUCCCAUCCCCUAAAAACAAAAAAGGUUCAAUAAAGAAGUUGAAAACAUUAAAACAUCAUCCUCAGCCUCUACAUUUUAAAUAAAUGUAAAGGUUGAAAGUUUUCUGUGGAAAUAGAAGGUUUAAAUUUAUUUUAAUUUUGAUUAACAGCUUCCUCAUUGUGCUUCAACAUGGAAUAUUCUAUUGAACAUUUUACUUAUUUCCUUUUUCUGGAGAGACCAAGGGGCUGAUGGGCCUUUUUCGUCUGCUAUUACGCUGAUUGAUGACAUUGGUCUCUGUUAGUGGAUAAGUUCACUCCCAGCUUGACAGUGCCACUCUCUCUAAAAGACCGACUUCGAUAAGGUGAAAACCCUCAAGGCUGCAAUUUAUGUUGACAAGUCUCCAUCGGAGGUUAACGCUGGCGGAAUUUAUGGGUGCUGCAACAAGGAGAGGGAAAAGAUUAAAAAAUGUAGAACUCAAAUUUUGUCAAAUUUUCUGGUGAAGUGUAAAAAAUAAAAAAAAUAGCGGAGGUUAUAACUCCCAGAAAAUGAACUAAAAUUAUUAUCUGUAAGUUCUAUUCUAAUAAAAACGUUUAAUUUGUAAUUGGCUACAUGAAAUUUUAAUUA